rnacentral:rRNA from 1 species
AGAGUUUGAUCAUGGCUCAGAACGUACGCUGGCGGCACGCCUAACACAUGCAAGUCGAACGAAGUAGCAAUACUUAGUGGCGAACGGGUGAGUAUAAUGUGGGUAUCUGCCAUUUGGUCUGGAAUAACACGAGGGAAACUUGUGCUAAUACUGGAUAAGCCUUUACAGGGAAAGCUAUAUGCGCCAAUUGAUGAGCCCGCACUUGAUUAGCUAGUUGGUAAGGUAAUGGCUUACCAAGGCUUCGAUCAAUAGCUGAUCUGAGAGGAUGAUCAGCCACAUUGGGACUGAGACACGGCCCACACUCCUACCGGAGGCAGCAGUGGGUAAUCUUGCACAAUGGGGGAAACCUGAUGCAGCGAUGCCGCGUGAGCGAAGAAGGCUUUGGGUUGUAAAG